rnacentral:rRNA from 1 species
AACGAACGCUGGCGGCAUGCCUAACACAUGCAAGUCGAACGAACCCUUCGGGGUUAGUGGCGCACGGGUGCGUAACGCGUGGGAAUCUGCCCUUUGCUUCGGAACAACAGUUAGAAAUGACUGCUAAUACCGGAUGAUGUCGCAAGACCAAAGAUUUAUCGGCAAAGGAUGAGCCCGCGUAAGAUUAGCUUGUUGGUGGGGUAAUGGCCUACCAAGGCGACGAUCUUUAGCUGGUCUGAGAGGAUGAUCAGCCACACUGGGACUGAGACACGGCCCAGACUCCUACGGGAGGCAGCAGUGGGGAAUAUUGGACAAUGGGCGAAAGCCUGAUCCAGCAAUGCCGCGUGAGUGAUGAAGGCCUUAGGGUUGUAAAGCUCUUUUACCCGGGAUGAUAAUGACAGUACCGGGAGAAUAAGCUCCGGCUAACUCCGUGCCAGCCGCCGCAGUAAGAC